ACUCCUACGGGAGGCAGCAGUGGGAAUGAUUGCGACAAUGGGGGAAACCCUGAUGCAGCCAUGCCGCGUGUGUGAAGAAGGCCUUCGGGUUGUAAAGCACUUUCAGUAGGGAGGAAGGUAGUGUAGUUAACACCUGCAUUAUUUGACGUUACCUACAGAAGAAGCACCGGCUAACUCCGUGCCAGCAGCCGCGGUAAUACGGAGGGUGCGAGCGUUAAUCGGAAUUACUGGGCGUAAAGCGCAUGCAGGCGGCCUGUUAAGUCAGAUGUGAAAGCCCGGGGCUUAACCUCGGAAUUGCAUUUGAAACUGGCAGGCUAGAGUCUUGUAGAGGGGGGUGAGAAUUUCAGGUGUAGCGGUGAAAUGCGUAGAGAUCUGAAGGAAUACCAGUGGCGAAGGCGGCCCCCUGAGCAAAGCUAGACGCUCAGAUGCGAAAGCGUGGGGAGCAAACAGGAUUAGAUGAUCCCUGGUAGGCCUC
rnacentral:rRNA from 1 species